rnacentral:tRNA from 1 species
GUUUCCUCCGCUCAGAUGGUAGAGUGUUGGCCUCAUAAUCCAAAGGUAGGCAGUUCGAGCCUGCCAAGAAGCA